CAGCAUUGGCUGGGUCAUUGCACUGGCUGCUUGUGUAACUAUAUUAGUUGUCUGUAUAAGGAUUCGCCGACGUAAGCCCAAGUUAGGUUUAAGCCCUAAAGACAGUACAGCAAGUGAACAUUCAACAGCUAGAUCUACUAGGGGAAGGAUCGAAGUACAUUAUUUGAAGAUGUGAUGGUCAUUGAUUACAAUUCAUUCCUGCAAAAUGUGCAACUUGAAACAGUAAAAAACAAUGAAGAGAAUUCUUCCCAGAUAGCCAAUGAAGAGACAGAUCCUCCAAACAAUUCAGUUUAUGUCAAUGCUUGUAUCAAGCCUAACAUCCUAACAUCUAACAAUAUUUACGAUGUCAUUGGAGAUAUUAAUACUACAUUGAGGUUGAAUUCUAAUUAAAGUGAAAAAUUACAUGAAAUUAUAGAUGAUUUACAUAUAGCAUUUAAAGACAGAAUGCCUUAUAGUUAUAAUCUAAAUACUGUAUAUUUAUCAUUAAGAUAUAAUAUUUGUUAGUAAAAUACAGUGCUUUCAUUUUCACAAGUUUGUAAACAUUAUUACAGCAAUGUUAAUGUGACACUCCCUAAGUGUAAACAACCAUUGUCCAUUCCAUGCCCUCAAGACCUUAAGACAAGUUAUAAUCUUUAAACUUUUGAGAAAUGAAUGUAUUUAUUAAGUAAAAUAAGAGUUCUACUUUUGCAAAGAUGUCAUGUCUUUGUUUAAACUUAAGUCUUUCUCAUGUUGAUUAUAACUUUAAACACAAUAAAAGUAUUAAUUUAUUGAGGUCCAUUAAAGAUAUAGAUUUUCUUACUUUUUAAACUACUAUCUGUAAUAUGGAAGUAUAUGUCUACAGGUUUCUUCUUUGAUUCUUUAUAUGUUCUCUACAAUGUUGCUAAGUUAUUGCUAUCUUCUUGAAUAAAUGUAAAUCUUGCUUGCUAUUGUA
rnacentral:sRNA from 1 species